rnacentral:tRNA from 1 species
GUCCCUGUAGCGCAGUGGGUGGCGCGUUGGACUUCUAAUUCAAAGAGCGUGGGUUCGGAUCCCACCUGGGAUG